GGAUUGUGGCUCAGUGGUAGAGCGCUCCCCUAGCACUGGUGGGACCCGGGUUCGAUCCUCAGCACCA
rnacentral:tRNA from 1 species